ACUGCUAUCGGAGUUCGAUUAAGCCAUGCGAGUCUAAAGAUUUCUUCGGAAACCUUGGCGGACUGCUCAGUAACACGUGGAUAACCUACCCUUGGGACUGGAAUAACCCCGGGAAACUGGGGAUAAUACCGGAUAGAUCAUGGAUGCUGGAAUGCACCUUGAUCCAAAGCUCCGGCGCCCAAGGAUGGGUCUGCGGCCUAUCAGGUUGUAGUGGGUGUAACGUACCUACUAGCCGACGACGGGUACGGGUUGUGAGAGCAAGAGCCCGGAGAUGGAUUCUGAGACACGAAUCCAGGCCCUACGGGGUGCAGCAGGCGCGAAACCUUUACAAUGUGCGAAAGCAUGAUAAGGGAACUCCGAGUGCCAGUAUCUAAUACUGGCUGUCCUUGUGCCUAAAACGCAUAAGAUAGCAAGGGCCGGGUAAGACCGGUGCCAGCCGCCGCGGUCCACCGGCGGCCCGAGUGGUAGCCGCUAUUAUUGGGUCUAAAGGGUCCGUAGCCGGUUCGAUGAGUCCUCUGGGAAAUCUGGUUGCUUAACAAUCAGACUGCCAAGGGAUACUGUCGAACUUGAGACCGGGAGAGGUAAGAGGUACUUCAGGGGUAGGAGUGAAAUCUUGUAAUCCCUGGGGGACCAUCUGUGGCGAAGGCGUCUUACCAGAACGGGUCUGACGGUGAGGGACGAAAACUGGGGGCGCAAACCGGAUUAGAUACCCGGGUAGUCCCAGCCGUAAACGAUGCUCGCUACGGUCUUACGGUGUGACCGUAUCUGGC
rnacentral:rRNA from 1 species